rnacentral:rRNA from 1 species
AUUGAACGCUGGCGGCAUGCUUUACACAUGCAAGUCGAACGGCAGCGCGGGCUUCGGCCUGGCGGCGAGUGGCGAACGGGUGAGUAAUGCAUCGGAACGUGCCCAGUAGUGGGGGAUAGCCCGGCGAAAGCCGGAUUAAUACCGCAUACGACCUGAGGGUGAAAGCGGGGGACCGAAAGGCCUCGCGCUAUUGGAGCGGCCGAUGUCGGUUUAGCUAGGUGGUGGGGGAAAGGCUUACCAAGGCGACGAUCCGUAGCUGGUCUGAGAGGACGACCAGCCACACUGGGACUGAGACACGGACCAGACUCCUACGGGAGGCAGCAGUGGGGAAUGUUGGACAAUGGGGGCAACCCUGAUCCAGCCAUGCCGCGUGCGGGAAGAAGGCCUUCGGGUUGUAAACCGCUUUUGUUGGGGAAGAAAUCCUCUGGGCUAAUACCCCGGGGGGAUGACGGUACCGGAAGAAUAAGCACCGGCUAACUACGUG